AGCGGGUUCAAGCUGGCCGCGUGGAUCUCAACCAGAACAUCGUCUUCCCGCAGAACUGGCUCCGGCAUGUCGCCGAAGCGCAGAGCGCCCUUCUUUUUGUAUUGAUCGAGGAUGAAAGCCUUCAUGAUGUAAAUUUCUCUGCGUUAAGUCGUUUUCUGCCGAACUUGGCCACUUACUGCUGGCGUUCCCAAAUCUGCGAACGACCCAGCGUCGGCACACCGAUGUAACCGCGCACGUUGAGC
rnacentral:misc_RNA from 1 species